rnacentral:rRNA from 1 species
UACGAAGGGGGCUAGCGUUGCUCGGAAUCACUGGGCGUAAAGGGUGCGUAGGCGGGUCUUUAAGUCAGGGGUGAAAUCCUGAAGCUCAACUCCAGAACUGCCUUUGAUACUGGCAAUCUUGAGUCCGGAAGAGGUGAGUGGAACUCCUAGUGUAGAGGUGGAAUUCGUAGAUAUUAGGAAGAACACCAGUGGCGAAGGCGGCUCACUGGUCCGGUACUGACGCUGAGGUGCGAAAGCGUGGGGAGCAAACAGG